GGGGUUGUGGCUCAGUGGUAGAGCUCUCGCCUCCCAUGUGAGAGACCCUGGGUUCGAUCCUCAGCACCA
rnacentral:tRNA from 1 species